rnacentral:lncRNA from 1 species
GCUCCUGAAGCACUGGCAGAGAAAAGCAGCAAAGAGCCUGGAGCUGGUGGUAAGGAGGAGAUACAGACCCAGGAAGGUUGUGAGCAGCCCAUCCAUCUGGGACACGAAGGACCCGGAGAAGAGGUUUCAAAGAAAGGUGGGCAAAGCAGAGAGGCUGGUUCCCAGGGUGGCAGUGGGGCAGGGAAACCACUUGCAUUGGCUCCUGCAGCCAGACAGCAUGUUCAGUCAAAGAAGGAUGGAGUUCACCCUUCUCCUGUGGAAAAGGUGGAUGAUAAAGAAGUAAAACCCACUGAUAAAAAGCACAACACUGACAAGGCUUCCUUGGAGAAUAAAGCUGGAGGGGCUGAGCUGGGUGGAGGCGAGAGGAGUGAGAAGAGCUCACUCAAACAGCCAGGGAGUGUGGCUGAAGCUGAGGCUGCUCAUUUAAAUGUGACAGCUGCCCAAACAACCCAGAUCAGUCCUAAAGAGAAUAAAAAAGGUCCCUCUCAGCCUGCAGAGGAGGGGGAUGCUCUUGGUGGCAAGGCACACCCGAAGGAGGCUCCGGUGUUGAAGUCUGAGGUAGAUAAACCUCAAGACACAACCAAAGAAAGGGAAUCCCAAGACACAACUAAAGAAAAGAAAUCUCGAGACGCCACCAAAGAAAAAGAAACUCAUGACACAACUGAAGAAAAGGAAUACCAGGAAAAAACUAAAGAAAAGAAAUUUCAAGACACGAAUAAAGAAAAAGAAACUCAAGACACAACCAAAGAAAAGGAAUCUCAAGAAACAACCAAAGAAAAAGAAACUCAAGACGCAACCAAAGAAACUCAAGAUGCAACCAAAGAAAAGGAAUCUCAGAGCACAACUAAAGAAAAGGAAUCUCAGGACACGAAUAAAGGAGAGGAACCUCAAGACGUGCAUAAAGACAAGGAAUCUCAAGACACAACCAAAGAAAAAGAAGAAGGAUGUGAACAAAAAGCUGUGCAGGAGGCGAAGAAAGAGCGAGUUAAAGCAGCAGAGCAGCUCAAAGGCU